GGCGUAGCUCAGCUGGUAGAGCAUCUGAUUUGUAAUCAGAGGGUCGGGGGUUCGAUUCCCUCCGCC
rnacentral:tRNA from 1 species